rnacentral:tRNA from 1 species
GGUUGAGUAGCUCAACUGGAUAGAGCAACAGCCUUCUAAGCUGUAGGUUAAGGGUUCGAGUCCCUUCUCAAUCA